AGGCUUGAGAGUUAGGUAAAUCCGGCUCUCUCUAAGGCUGAGACACGACGUCGAGCUACUACGGUAGUGAAGUCAUUGAUGCCAUGCUUCCAGGAAAAGCCUCUAAGCUUCAGAUAGUCAGGAAUCGUACCCCAAACCGACACAGGUGGUCGGGUAGAGAAUACCAAGGCGCUUGAGAGAACUCGGGUGAAGGAACUAGGCAAAAUGGUACCGUAACUUCGGGAGAAGGUACGCUCUUGAUGGUGAAGUCCCUCGCGGAUGGAGCUGACGAGAGUCGCAGAUACCAGGUGGCUGCAACUGUUUAUUAAAAACACAGCACUGUGCAAAAUCGCAAGAUGACGUAUACGGUGUGACGCCUGCCCGGUGCCGGAAGGUUAAUUGAUGGGGUUAGCGCAAGCGAAGCUCUUGAUCGAAGCCCCGGUAAACGGCGGCCGUAACUAUAACGGUCCUAAGGUAGCGAAAUUCCUUGUCGGGUAAGUUCCGACCUGCACGAAUGGCGUAAUGAUGGCCACGCUGUCUCCACCCGAGACUCAGUGAAAUUGAAAUCGCUGUGAAGAUGCAGUGUACCCGCGGCUAGACGGAAAGACCCCGUGAACCUUUACUACAGCUUGGCACUGAACAUUGAACCUACAUGUGUAGGAUAGGUGGGAGGCUAUGAAGACGUGACGCCAGUUGCGUUGGAGCCGUCCUUGAAAUACCACCCUUGUAUGUUUGAUGUUCUAACUUAGACCCAUUAUCUGGGUUGAGGACAGUGCCUGGUGGGUAGUUUGACUGGGGCGGUCUCCUCCCAAAGAGUAACGGAGGAGCACGAAGGUGGGCUAAUCACGGUUGGACAUCGUGAGGUUAGUGCAAUGGCAUAAGCCCGCUUAACUGCGAGAAUGACGGUUCGAGCAGGUGCGAAAGCAGGUCAUAGUGAUCCGGUGGUUCUGUAUGGAAGGGCCAUCGCUCAACGGAUAAAAGGUACUCCGGGGAUAACAGGCUGAUACCGCCCAAGAGUUCAUAUCGACGGCGGUGUUUGGCACCUCGAUGUCGGCUCAUCACAUCCUGGGGCUGAAGUCGGUCCCAAGGGUAUGGCUGUUCGCCAUUUAAAGUGGUACGCGAGCUGGGUUUAGAACGUCGUGAGACAGUUCGGUCCCUAUCUGCCGUGGGCGUUGGAAGAUUGAAGGGGGCUGCUCCUAGUACGAGAGGACCGGAGUGGACGAACCUCUGGUGUUCGGGUUGUGUCGCCAGACGCAUUGCCCGGUAGCUAAGUUCGGAAUUGAUAAGCGCUGAAAGCAUCUAAGCGCGAAGCGAGCCCUGAGAUGAGUCUUCCCUGACAGUUUAACUGUCCUAAAGGGUUGUUCGAGACUAGAACGUUGAUAGGCAGGGUGUGUAAGCGUUGUGAGGCGUUGAGCUAACCUGUACUAAUUGCCCGUGAGGCUUAACCAUACAACACCCAAGG
rnacentral:rRNA from 1 species